UACGUAGGGCGCAAGCGUUGUUCGGAAUUACUGGGCGUAAAGGGCUCGUAGGCGGCCAACUAAGUCAGACGUGAAAUCCCUCGGCUUAACCGGGGAACUGCGUCUGAUACUGGAUGGCUUGAGUUUGGGAGAGGGAUGCGGAAUUCCAGGUGUAGCGGUGAAAUGCGCAGAUAUCAGGAGGAACACCGGUGGCGAAGGCGGCUCUCUGGGCCUUACCUGACGCUGAGGAGCGAAAGCUGGGGGAGCGAACAGG
rnacentral:rRNA from 1 species